AUUGAACGCUGGCGGCAGGCCUAACACAUGCAAGUCGAACGGCAGCACAGAACAGCUUGCUCUUUGGGUGGCGAGUGGCGGACGGGUGAGUAAUGUCUGGGAAACUGCCCGAUGGAGGGGGAUAACUACUGGAAACGGUAGCUAAUACCGCAUAACGUCGCGAGACCAAAGUGGGGGACCUUCGGGCCUCACACCAUCGGAUGUGCCCAGAUGGGAUUAGCUAGUAGGUGGGGUAAUGGCUCACCUAGGCGACGAUCCCUAGCUGGUCUGAGAGGAUGACCAGCCACACUGGAACUGAGACACGGUCCAGACUCCUACGGGAGGCAGCAGUGGGGAAUAUUGCACAAUGGGCGCAAGCCUGAUGCUGCCAUGCCGCGUGUAUGAAGAAGGCCUUCGGGUUGUAAAGUACUUUCAGCGGGGAGGAAGGCGGUGAAGUUAAUAACUUCACCGAUUGACGUUACCCGCAGAAGAAGCACCGGCUAACUCCGUGCCAGCCGCCGCCGUAA
rnacentral:rRNA from 1 species